GUCUUUGCGCAGUGGCAGUAUCAUAGCCGAUGAGGUUUAACCGAGGCGCGAUUAUUGUUUAUUGAAAACUUUUCCCAAUACCCCAAAAAAAGCUUGGCCUAAAUAGCCAAGUGGUUAUGGUACUGGGUUUGUAACC